rnacentral:rRNA from 1 species
GACGAACGCUGGCGGCGUGCCUAAUACAUGCAAGUUGAGCGCUGAAUGCUGGUACUUGUACCGACUGGUUAAGCAGCGGACGGGUGAGUAACGCGUGGUGGAUCUGCCUUUGAGCAGGGGACAAUAAUUGGAAACGAAUGCUAAUAGCGCAUAAAAACUUUAAACACAAGCUUUAAGUGUGAAAGAUGCAAUUGCAUCACUCAAAGAUGAUCCCGCGUUGUAUUAGCUAGUUGGUGAGGUAAAGGCUCACCAAGGCGAUGAUACAUAGCCGACCUGAGAGGGUGAUCGGCCAAAUUGGGACUGAGACACGGCCCAAAAUCCUACGGGAGGCAGCAGUAGGGAAUCUUCGGCAAUGGAAGAAAGUCUGACCGAGCAACGCCGCGUGAGUGCAGAAGGUUUUCGGAUCGUAAAACUCUGUUGGUAGAGAAGAACGUUGGUGAGAGUGGCAAGCUCACCUAGUGACGGUAACUACACAGAAAGGGACGGCUAACUACGUG